rnacentral:sRNA from 1 species
GGAGGUCCGGCUGCGUCUUCCUGUAGCGCUACCCGCCAUGCGCCUGCCGCGCCGGGCCGCGCUGGGGCUCCUGCCGCUUCUGCUGCUGCUGCCGCCCGCGCCGGAGGCCGCCAAGAAGCCGACGCCCUGCCAUCGGUGCCGGGGGCUGGUGGACAAGUUUAACCAGGGGAUGGUGGACACCGCAAAGAAGAACUUUGGCGGCGGGAACACAGCUUGGGAGGAAAAGACGCUGUCCAAGUACGAGUCCAGCGAGAUUCGCCUGCUGGAGAUCCUCGAGGGGCUGUGCGAGAGCAGCGACUUCGAAUGCAACCAGAUGCUAGAGGCGCAGGAGGAGCACCUGGAGGCCUGGUGGCUGCAGCUGAAGAGCGAAUAUCCUGACUUAUUCGAGUGGUUUUGUGUGAAGACACUGAAAGUGUGCUGCUCUCCAGGAACCUACGGUCCCGACUGUCUCGCAUGCCAGGGCGGAUCCCAGAGGCCCUGCAGCGGGAAUGGCCACUGCAGCGGAGAUGGGAGCAGACAGGGUGACGGGUCCUGCCAGUGCCACGUGGGGUACCAGGGCCCGCUGUGCACAGACUGCAUGGAUGGCUACUUCAGCUCACUCCGGAACGAGACCCACAGCAUCUGCACAGCCUGUGACGAGUCCUGCAAGACGUGCUCAGGCCUGACCAACAGAGACUGUGGCGAGUGCGAAGUGGGCUGGGUGCUGGACGAGGGCGCCUGUGUGGAUGUGGACGAGUGUGCGGCCGAGACACCUCCCUGCAGUGCUGCACAGUUCUGUAAGAACGCCAACGGCUCCUACACAUGCGAAGAGUGUGACUCCAGCUGUGUGGGCUGCACAGGGGAAGGCCCAGGAAACUGUAAAGAGUGUAUCCCUGGCUACUCGAGGGAGCACGGACAGUGUGCAGAUGUGGAUGAGUGCUCACUAGCAGAAAAAGCCUGUGUGAGGAAAAACGAAAACUGCUACAAUACUCCAGGGAGCUACGUCUGCGUGUGUCCUGACGGCUUCGAAGAAACGGAAGAUGCCUGUGUGCCGCCGACAGAGGCUGGUGAGUGGCACGGCUCUCUCCACACAGGCUGCCCUCCCCUGGGCCGCGGGGCUUGCACGCAGACUGGCUGCUUGGUCUGAAAUCCACACAGACAAUGGCCUUGGGAUGGUGAGAGGGGGAUUCCCGGAAGACAGGUGCAUAACACCUGUGUGGGCACACUUGGCGCAGAGAGGUACCGGCUUCCUGAGGAUGAAGCCCCAGGUUCACAGCUCAAAUGGAAGUUAAGGCGAUGAAAGGGGAAGUCUCUGAAGCUCAGACCUCAGCGGGCGAUGAACAGAGGAGCAGACGCCGGAGAAGAGGCAGCUAAGGAGCUGGAAAAGUCAUCUGGGGAGGCUGCCCAGGGUGCCACAAGGACAGGGACAGGCAGGAAGUGGUGGAGGGCAAGCAAGUCCCCCAUACCUGUUUCCUGGGGCUGCCUUACCAAGAACCACGAACUUGGGGCUCCAGCAACAGAAAUGUGCCUCUCACAGGAGCCAGAAGUCAGAGGCCCAGACGCAAGCAGGCUGCUUCCUUGGGAGGCUGGGCGGGCGCGUCUGUUCCAGGCCUCUGUCCUCGCCUGGGGAUGCCACCUGCUCCCCGUGUCUUCACGUGGUCUCCAUGUGGGUGUCUGUCUCUGUCCAAACCUCCCCUCUUUGUAAGGACACCAGUCACUAAUGCCCUCGUGUUAACUUGGUCGUUGGUAAAGACCCUAUUUCCAAACAAGGUCACAAUCACAGGUACUGGGAGUAAAGACUUCAGCGUGUUUUGGGGGACAUAGAUCUGCCCGUGACAGCCCUCACAGAAGUCUAGAACAUAGAGAGUGGGAAAGAAGCAGUGUUCAAGGAGAUAUUGGCUAAGGGUUUUUCAGAAUGAAUAAGGCAUGAUUCAGAUUCCAGAAGCUGUUUCCUGAGCAGGACACAUAAAAGCAAUUCCACAUCUAGAAGCAUCGCAGCAACAGCAA